CCCUUUCUUUAGGACCUAAAGACCUCCUUUUCAAUCACUGCAUCCUCUCCUGUCCAUCAGUGGACUUGGUGACGUGUCUCUUGGAUUUUUGACUCAACCUUGCCUCAAACAGAAGCACCGUCCCCCGCCUGGCAGCGUCUCUGGUGGCCUGCGCACAGCUGAGCGCCUUAGAGUUUUACAGGCAGCACUCCCACCGCCCUGGUGGAAGGCCUUCCCGAAGCUCUGCAGAGGCAGUUUGAGUGUGAAGACCCUGCUGUGCGAGGGGCAAGCAGCUGCUGCACUGCUCGCUCUUCAAGUGAUCACAGGUGCUGGCAGCUCUUGCUUGUGACCUGGAACUAGACGCUCUCCCUUGCUGCACGGAGAUGCACAGGCGGGCCUGGUUCCAAAGGUACCACCUGGCCUCCCGUGUCACUGUGGCCCUGAACCGGAGAGCGCCUUUGCCCUGCCUG